UACGGAGGAUCCAAGCGUUAUCCGGAUUUAUUGGGUUUAAAGGGUGCGUAGGCGGCCUGUUAAGUCAGGGGUGAAAGACGGUAGCUUAACUAUCGCAGUGCCCUUGAUACUGAUGGGCUUGAAUAUACUUGAGAUAGGCGGAAUGUGACAAGUAGCGGUGAAAUGCAUAGAUAUGUCACAGAACACCAAUUGCGAAGGCAGCUUACUAAGGUAUGAUUGACGCUGAGGCACGAAAGCGUGGGGAUCAAACAGG
rnacentral:rRNA from 1 species